rnacentral:misc_RNA from 1 species
GGCGUGUAGGAUAUGCUUCGGCAGAAGGACACGCC